rnacentral:tmRNA from 1 species
GGGGGCGAUCUGGUUUCGACUGGACCGGCAGAUUGUUGACUGCAUGUAGAGGAUGACCGUUGGCCUCUUUAAUCACCGGUUAAAACAAGUAACUGCAAACGAAGAAUUUGCAUUAGCCGCUUAACGUCGGCUACGUCUUUACUCUGACGGACACUAAGAGAUAAGGACGAAGCAGUGUCCUGGCGACAAAGGGCUUUUCCGGUUCCCGGCCUUUGCGCGAGAUAUAAGGGAAAAUAGUCCUGAGACAGACUUGCCCGUGAGUUAAGUCAAGGGACGAUAAGCAAUGAACACGGAACAAACAUGUAGACGUCUUCAUGACACUUGCCCAGGACGGGGGUUCGACUCCCCCCGCCUCCACCA